rnacentral:tRNA from 1 species
GCACCUAUGGCUCAAAACGGUAGGGGACCGGCCUGAUAUGCCGGAGAUGGCAGGUUCAAACCCAGCCCAGGCCCA